GAAAGUGAUGAAGGAAAUGAAUCGCUCAGGUGUAGAGGCAACGCGUACCAAAAUUGGCUUGAAGAAUAAUGUUAUCAGGAACCUUCCCAAGAAUGUGCCAUAUUAGUCUGGGAACUUAUCUCUUCGUUGUUAUAAUAUUGAAGACCACAUUUUGCUAGAAGUUUGAGAGAUGUUUGUGAUUUUCUAUGAAACAUGUUGAAUGGUUUUUUUUACGUUAUCGUUUGCAAUUUACUAAAUUAACUACUAGUUUUGCCCGUGCAUCAUGUGAAGUUACAGUAGCUUUUUAAAAUGUUUUGUUUUCUUUCUUUAUCGAAAUUUAUUGUAAGACCGCCAGAAGAGGUAUGCAAAAAAGUGAUAUGUGACAGAAAAUCCUCUAUAGCCUCACUGUAAGAGAGGGCCAUUUUUAACAGAGAAGAAAAGGUUAUUAUAUUUGAGGUUUUGUAAGAGGUAAGUGUCCGAAAUCAUAUGAUAGCGGAAGAGGAAAAAAUCUUCACUUUCUACUUGCAUGAUCUCCUGUAUCAAGAAGGCUGCCGUUAUGUAGAUUUUCUCAUUAAUAUGCUGCUGGACUAAUGCCCAAUACCCAAAAGUCGAAUGCCUACUUCCUAACGUCAGAAAUCAGUGGUGUCCCAGAAAUCAUUUCUUUGGUAAGCUCGCUCGGACACUACCCAUUAUUCUUCUGGAGAUCCUUUGGGAGUUGUUUUUCUUCAUGCCUAGUCAUUGUGGGUUUAAUUUCCU
rnacentral:misc_RNA from 1 species